GAUGAACGCUAGCGGCAGGCCUAAUACAUGCAAGUCGAGCGGAGUAGCAAUACUUAGCGGCGGACGGGUGCGUAACACGUAUGUAAUCUGCCUACUACUGGGGGAUAGCCUGUGGAAACACGGAUUAAUACCCCAUAACACCUUUUGAAGGCAUCUUUAGAAGGUUAAAGCUCAGGCGGUAGUAGAAGAACAUGCGUCUGAUUAGCUAGUUGGCGGGGUAACGGCCCACCAAGGCAACGAUCAGUAGCUGGUCUGAGAGGAUGAUCAGCCACACGGGCACUGAGACACGGGCCCGACUCCUACGGGAGGCAGCAGUAGGGAAUAUUGGUCAAUAGACGCAAGUCUGAACCAGCCAUGCCGCGUGCAGGAAGAAGGCGCUCAGCGUUGUAAACUGCUUUAGAUGGGGAGCAAAAAGCUCAUGCGUGAGCCAUUGAGAGUACCCAUAGAAUAAGCACCGGCUAACUCCGUGCCAGCAGCCGCGGUAAUC
rnacentral:rRNA from 1 species